ACGAGUGGCGGACGGGUGAGUAAUGUCUGGGAAACUGCCUGAUGGAGGGGGAUAACUACUGGAAACGGUAACUAAUACCGCAUAACGUCGCAAGACCAAAGAGGGGGACCUUCGGGCCUCUUGCCAUCGGAUGUGCCCAGAUGGGAUUAGCUAGUAGGUGGGGUAACGGCUCACCCAGGCGACGACCCCUAGCUGGUCUGAGAGGAUGACCAGCCACACUGGAACUGAGACACGGUCCAG
rnacentral:rRNA from 1 species